UACGGAGGAUGCGAGCGUUAUCCGGAUUUAUUGGGUUUAAAGGGUGCGCAGGCGGAUUUUUAAGUCAGCGGUCAAAUCGGGGGGCUCAACCCCAUCCAGCCGUUGAAACUGGGGAUCUAGAGUGUGCGAGAGGUAUGCGGAAUGCGUGGUGUAGCGGUGAAAUGCAUAGAUAUCACGCAGAACCCCGAUUGCGAAGGCAGCAUACCGGUGCACAACUGACGCUCAGGCACGAAAGCGUGGGUAUCGAACAGG
rnacentral:rRNA from 1 species